CGUUGUAGCUCAGUUGGUAGAGCAACUGAUUCGUAAUCAGUAGGUCGGAGGUUCGACUCCUCUCGCCGG
rnacentral:tRNA from 1 species